AACGUAGGAACCGAGCGUUAUCCGAAUUUACUGGGCGUAAAGCGCGUGUAGGUGGUUUGGAAAGUUAGGUGUGAAAGCUCCCGGCUUAACUGGGAGAGGCCGCUUAAUACUUUCAGACUAGAGGGCGAUAGAGGGGGGUGGAAUUCCCGGUGUAGUGGUGAAAUGCGUAGAUAUCGGGAGGAACACCUGUGGAGAAAGCGGCCCCCUGGAUCGUUCCUGACACUGAGAUGCGAAAGCUAGGGGAGCGAACGGG
rnacentral:rRNA from 1 species